CGCGCUCCAAAACUUAUCUCUUUUGAAUACAUCUGAUUUGAUAUCGUUUUGCGACUCAGUCCUACUUUUGCCUUUAACGAAAUUCAUUAAUUUUUCGGUUAGUUCUGCAUUUGUUUUGGGGAAUGUCCGAUUCGGGUUUUGAAGUUCUGGGUUAUCUAUUCCUAGGAGUUAUUAUUUUUGCAGGAUGGUUUCUCUGUCUUAUGUGUUAUCACCGAGAUGCCAAGCGUAAAAAACAGGCAAGGCAGGCACAAGCGCCAAGUAGAAACGUUAAUGUAAUUAGGACUUCCGAUGGGAAUUUCGUACCAAGGACCGAUGCGCCAAUUUGGACAACACAAAUUAGCAUGGUUGAACAGAUGGAAGGACAUACACACAACACGCUGCCAAGAAUUGAAGUGCGUUACCCACGAAGAGAGAUACGACGACAAAGUGACGCAGACAUUUUAUUUGGAAAUGCAAACAUUUUCGGAAUCACAAAUGAAGGCAUUCAAAUAGAAGAAUCCACAAGCAACCAUAGUGUGGAGUCUCUACAUGAUGAUACAAACAGAAAGAACCAUGAUGGACUUCCAACUUACCAUGAAGCACUCCAACUGCCAAAAAAAGAAGAACAAACUUGAGAUAAACUUUCAAUGAAACUACACACGAUUUGGAUUAUCAAUGGAUAUUUAUUUAUUUUUUUAUCGUUUUUAACUUUUAUUUAAUAAUAAUCAUUAAUAUUAAGUUUUUUUUAUAUAUUUAGUAGGUUAUAUUUUUAAUUUUUUGAUAUAAUAUUAAUACAUAAUAAUAAACUUAAGAGAAAUACGAAUUUUA